UAUUAUUACAUUGCAACAUGGCAGUGCCCAUACAGCGUCGACCACCCGCUUUGAUCGAAUUCGCGCUUGUUACUGGCUCUCCACCCUGUCAGCAAGAAACAAGCGCCAAAAUCCGUCAUCACUAAGUCUCAUCUCAAGCUGAGGUCAAAUCAUUAGGUAUGUUUUGUCGUAAUUAUUGAGAUCAGCUGUAUGCUUGCAUGCUGCUAGGACUACAGGCACGGCAC
rnacentral:lncRNA from 1 species